rnacentral:tRNA from 1 species
GAGGGCGCCAUAAGACCUGCUAACUCUUUAAUCUGGAAAUAACUGCCAGCCCCCUCU